AGACUGGAUUUUUGCCUGACUACGGUGCUCAGCCUUCUAGACAAUAGUUAUGCUAAGGGAUUAUCUUUUAACAUUGUGCAGUUAUCUCCUUUGUUUGUUUUCUUUUUUCAUUAUUCACAUAAGCCAAGGGAAAUGAAAAGCAUCUUAUUUCAGGCAAAAAGGCCUGUGAAUGAUUAACUCUGGUUCCAUGCGUUGGGACUUUGCAUAGCAACCCCGUGGCUUGCAACGACAAAAAAGCUCAAGGCAGGAACAGCAGCCCAGGGACCUGAGACCAGCGUUCUCAAAUGAAGCCAGAUCUGCUGUUAGAGGAGAAUUCUUCUGUCCUAGCUGUGUCUCUGUGAUCUGUGGAUGAGGGUGGGAAAGCACCACUCAGUCAAUUGGGGUGUACAAAAUGGAGUUUGAGAAGGUCUCACAUCCAGGUUGUUUUGAAGCAAAGUCCAAGCAUUGUAUCACUUCAUCUGCAAAUAUUUCAAUAAGUACCCAAAAGAAGCUGUUAUGCACUUUCAUCACUCAAAGUUUGGCAGCAAUUGAAGUUCAUCAUCUACUCCAG
rnacentral:lncRNA from 1 species